ACUUUGGGAUAUCACACAAGGGAUAUACCAGAGGCUGGAAAAGGGUUAAGAGGGAAUUGGAUAAAUGUGCAAUGUUGUGUGCCAAUUGUCACAGAGAGGUUCACGCCGGAAAGCAGCUUCUACGGGAAACCGUAGUUGAAAAAUCAGGUGAACUCAGGGAACCCCUUAAACAAUAAGGGCAAUCCUGAGCCAAGCCGCGAACGAUUUCGCGGAAGGUGCAGAGACUAUCCCGCAAGGGAGUACUGUCCGCCUAAAGCGUCCAACUGAGUCGGACGUCUGCCUAAGGCACGACGGAUGGGAAGCGCCUGAGUCCGUAAAGAACAAGGCUAUGCCAGUGCCGUAUCAAGGCCUAUGGCCGUCAGACGGCCAAGUGUUCUACGGAUAUGAUAUAGUCCAAGCUCUGGAGUAAUUCAGAG
rnacentral:ncRNA from 1 species